rnacentral:lncRNA from 1 species
AGACAUUAAUCUUAAGUAUCCAGGGAGCCCUAAAACAUUGUAUCCCACUAGCAAGGACCAUGGUAAUUGCCACGUAAAUCCCCUCCAUUAUGUGGCCCUUAUUAUGACCAGCCAGCCAAGGCUUGCCUUUAAAUCAUACCAAUUGAACCGAGCCUUGUAGAAACACUAUCACCUACGCAUACCUCUGCUUCUUUUCAUUAACCUGCUAUCCUCUUUACAAAUGGGAUUCUUCACCCACUCCCUUCUUCUAGAUUAGCAAUGCCCUGUUAAGUAAACGAACACGAAAUUCAAAGGGAAACAGGAGCAAUCAUCAUUACCAGCUGCCGUGUUAAGCAUUGCGAAAACGCUCACGAUUCACAGAAAAAUCCAUGCUGUUCUUUGAAGGCAUUCAAGCCUUAAUAGCUAGCUGGAUGAAUGUUUAACUUCUAGGCCAGGCACUACUCUGUCCCAACAAUAAGCCCUGUACAUUGGGAAAGGUGCCGAGACAUGAACUUUGGUCUUCUCUGCAAUCCAUCUGGAGCAUUCACUGACAACAUCGACUUUGAAGUUGCACUGACCUGGCCAGCCCUGCCACUUACCAGGUUGGAUUGCAAACUCCUAGAGAAGGGCUCAACAGUGAGUGCUGAGGCUGCACAGAGGAGGAAGGCAGCACAAUGAUGGAAGGCUUCCUAAAGAGAUAACACUAACAAAGUUGACCUUAGAAUUGGAGUGCCUGGGUUAGAACCCUGCUGGUACCACCUGCUUACUGCAUGCUUCUGAUGUGAGUUCAGGAGAAGACACUGGCAAGGACAGCAAAGAACAGGAGAACACUCUAGCUUCCCUGAUAGCAUUCAAGGUGCUGUCCAAACUGACUGUGAUGGCACCCUCCAGACAGACAGCGAUGCCACAUGUUCAAGAUGGCAGAAUCACUAUCAGCUUCAAUUCCUGAAUGACUGCAGAGCAAAAUUUCUUACCUGCAACAUACACUCUAUUUUCAGCCUCCCUGGACUGUUACAUAAUGAUACAUAAAAAUAUUUCUUGUGUUGAGGCAUCCCAAAUUUGAUUUAUUUGUCAUCACAGUCUAUCCUAUGAAUAUAUUUCUGAUCCAAAUAAUGCUAGAUUCAUGAGAGUUUAUAGUCCAGAGAUUUUUUUUUUUUUUUUGAGACAGAAUCUGUCUCCCAGGCUGGGGUGCAGUGGCAUAAUCUUAGCUCACUGCAACCUCUGCCUCCCGGGCUCAAGUGAUCCUCCCUCCUUAGCCUCCAUGAGUAGCUGGGACCACAGGUGUGCACCACCACACCCCGCUAAUUAUUUUGUAUUUUUUGCAGAGGGGGGUUUCACCACAUUGCCCAAGCUGGUCUCAAACUCCUAGACUUAAGGGAUCUGCCUGCCUUGGCCUCCCAAAAUGCUGAAAUUACACUUGUUAGCCAUAGUAAUAGUUCCUAGCCAUAGUCCGGAGAUAUUUUAAAAACUUUAGUGUGAGUUAUUUCUCUUUGCUAUAAUUCUCUCAUGCAUUUUGAAAACCUUUUCUGCCAUACAGUGGUUUUUGGGAAGUCCUUUUGGACAGACAUAUCACAGGAUGGAGAAACUAAAAAGAGAGAAUGCAUUAAAGAAAAAAUAGUACUUCGUAUUUCAGAAAUUACAAAAGGGUGUCAUGCCCCACAGCAUGGUGGGCAGUCAUUUGUAACCCACAGAACAUUGAGUUUCUAAAAUUUGAGUGUUUUUAACUUACGAAGGCCAACUUUACUGAUGAAGUGAUUACCCCAAAUAUGUGAAAUCCAUAUUUCAAGUACAAUAGUAGGAAAUUGGAAAUGGGCUCUUGAGUUUCUGCUUUCAAGUGACCCUCAGAAAUUCCUCCAUUCACUGCAGAGGUUCUGUUUCUCCUUGCUUUGUUCUGACUUUACGGCAGAACUAAGCUAAUGAGUUAGUUACUAUGGGUUAUCACUUGGAUUUGAAGAACCAUCAUUUCUAGGCAUUGCUGCUCAGAGUGGGUCUGCCCUCAGGGGAAGCUGUCUAACCAGAGCCUAACCCACUAGGGUUUUAUCAGAACCUAACUGACCUGAGGAAAAGAAAUACUCAACUCCAGCAAGCUCCAGCCUUCCAAAUGGAGGAGGAGAAAACCCAACUCCAGCCCACUUCAGCUAUCUUGUCCCACAUAAAGGGGAAGUGGAAGAAACCUGAGAAGCAGGCAUGAAGUUCACAGUCCAGAGAUGACAUGAUUUUCUAUGCAAAAAAUUCAAAAUAAUCAACAACAAAAAAAUCCUGAAACUAAUAAAUGAUUAUAGCAAGAUUUCAGGAUAUGAGAUUUAUAUACAAAGGUCAAUUACUUUCAUAUAUACAAGCAAUGAACAAGAGGGAUUUGAAAUUAAAAACGAAACUAUUUACAUUAGUACCCCCAAAAUGAAAUCCUUAUGUAUAAACUUAACAAAAUAUGUACAAGAUACAUAUGAGAAAAA